rnacentral:rRNA from 1 species
GACGAACGCUGGCGGCGUGCUUAACACAUGCAAGUCGAACGGAAAGGCCCUGCUUUUGUGGGGUGCUCGAGUGGCGAACGGGUGAGUAACACGUGAGUAACCUGCCCUUGACUUUGGGAUAACUUUAGGAAACUGGGGCUAAUACCGGAUAGGAGCUCCUGCUGCAGGGUGGGGGUUGGAAAGUUUCGGCGGUUGGGGAUGGACUCGCGGCUUAUCAGCUUGUUGGUGGGGUAGUGGCUUACCAAGGCUUUGACGGGUAGCCGGCCUGAGAGGGUGACCGGCCACAUUGGGACUGAGAUACGGCCCAGACUCCUACGGGAGGCAGCAGUGGGGAAUAUUGCACAAUGGGCGGAAGCCUGAUGCAGCAACGCCGCGUGCGGGAUGACGGCCUUCGGGUUGUAAACCGCUUUCGCCUGUGACGAAGCGUGAGUGACGGUAAUGGGUAAAGAAGCACCGGCUAACUACGUG